rnacentral:rRNA from 1 species
AUUGAACGCUGGCGGCAUGCUUUACACAUGCAAGUCGAACGGUAACAGGCCGCAAGGUGCUGACGAGUGGCGAACGGGUGAGUAAUGCAUCGGAACGUGCCCAGUCGUGGGGGAUAACUACUCGAAAGAGUAGCUAAUACCGCAUACGAUCUAUGGAUGACAGCGGGGGACCGUAAGGCCUCGCGCGAUUUGAGCGGCCGAUGUCAGAUUAGGUAGUUGGUGGGGUAAAGGCUCACCAAGCCAACGAUCUGUAGCUGGUCUGAGAGGACGACCAGCCACACUGGGACUGAGACACGGCCCAGACUCCUACGGGAGGCAGCAGUGGGGAAUUUUGGACAAUGGGCGCAAGCCUGAUCCAGCAAUGCCGCGUGCAGGAAGAAGGCCUUCGGGUUGUAAACUGCUUUUGUACGGAACGAAACGGCUCUGGUUAAUACCCGGGGCUAAUGACGGUACCGUAAGAAUAAGCACCGGCUAACUACGUG